CAGCAUUCACUAGGCUGGCCGUAAAAUUUUUAGCUGUUUGCAGUUCAAAACUCUGCUCAGUCCUGCCUAAUUUAGUUUAAAGUGAAAACCUUUACCCUUUUUCCACCGCAAAGCAACAACACACUCCUAGAGUCAAUCGGUGGAGAUGCUGGAGCCCAGCCACCGAAAUUUCAAUUAAGGCCCGGCUCACACGCAGCCACACAAUUUGGCACACUGGCAAAGUGGCAAUCACCUGAGGUAGCUCAAAGUAAUUUACGCACUUGAACUAAUUUACCAGCGAAAAGUGGUUGGCCCGAGCGCGCUUGGUGCAGUGCGUUGUCGUCCGGGCUUAAAAUAACUGAGUUUCCACUUGAAUGUUGGCAUAUCAAUCACAAAUAUCGCCAAGUUGAUGAAGCAAGUCUUUGUGCGCCCUUUGCCUCCCCAUUGGAUCCUUACUGCCACAUGAGAGGCAUGCCAAUCAAACUGCAAGUUGUUAACCGGAAGCUUUUACUUCUUUUGGCACUUGGCCGUUAAUCAAGCCCCAAGCAGCUGUGAUUUAAGCAAUAUGUAUUCCUGGCCCGAGCAGCUGCUUUGUAAUUUUUUUUUUUUUAAUUUAAAAUUAUUUUGGGCCGCAUCAUUUACACGCAAUCAAGGCGAGCCGACGCACCUCAACGCCCACUCUUGAGACAAGUAUCAUAACUCAAUUUCAUGUGCAAUUUCAUGCACCUGCGACGGCACGUAAUCGAGCUGCUUGCCACACCUCCACACCUCAUCUAUAUGCCAUGGCGAUGGCCUGCAGUUAGCGCCUUUGUGAUGUCUGCUGCAUAACCAAGUAGCCUGGCGAUUGCCACAAUUUUGUAAUCAGCGGACUGUCCAUUUUAUAAAAAACACUUCAAAAGUCAACUGCAAUAAAAAGCAGCAGUCAAAGGGCUGUCAAGCCCCGCUCAAG